ACUCAUAGUGCAUCCAAACUAUAGGGUAAUUGUACAAAUCUAUUUUUAUAAAACACCGUUUCAUGCAAAGUGUAGAUAAUGCAAAUAUAAUUUGCAAACUGAUUAAAUUAUGAGUAGAAACAAAAAACAAAUGGCUUUAUAGGGGUGACAUUAGAUAUCAUGUUCAUUCAAUUAUAGUGAAACCUCAUGGAUAAAUGUUAAGAUAUGUAAUUAAUAACAGAUACAUUUAUAUGACCAGUGUCCAUGCUUGGUAAUAGAAGAUCUUAUAAUGAACAGGUAUUCUGGGGUGUAUAAUGUCCAGUGCCCAUUCUUAGCAUUGGAAGUCCAGACUAAUAGGUACGUGUUCCAGAGUCCAUGCUUAGUACUGAAAGAUAAACAGGUAUUUAGGGUAUAUAUUGUUCAAUAUCCAUGCUUAGUAUUGUAAGAUCAUAUGGUAAACGUGUAU